UACGGGGGGGGCAAGCGUUGUUCGGAAUUACUGGGCGUCAAGGGCUCGUAGGCGGCCAACUAAGUCGGAUGUGAAAUCCCCAGGCUUAACCUGGGAACUGCAUCCGAUACUGGAUGGCUUGAAUUCGGGAGAGGGAUGCAGAAUUCCAGGUGUAGCGGUGAAAUGCGUAGAUAUCUGGAGGAAUACCGGUGGCGAAGGCGGCAUCCUGGACCGAGAUUGACGCUGAUGAGCGAAAGCUAGGGGAGCAAACGGG
rnacentral:rRNA from 1 species